rfam:Myotis brandtii contig190095, whole genome shotgun sequence.
GGUGGUUCUUGGGUAAUGCACACCAAAUUGGACUCCCUACUCUCUAUUUUGGGUGCGUCACCUGAGAACCACA